UGGGGUAUCGCCAAGCGGUAAGGCAGCGGGUUUUGAUCCCGCCAUUCCCAGGUUCGAAUCCUGGUACCCCAG
rnacentral:tRNA from 2 species